rnacentral:lncRNA from 1 species
CCCAAAGACAUCCGAAGACAUUUGCCAACAGUGGGCUGCCGACGGAUUUAUGCGAGGAGCAUCACGGAGAAGUGAUCAAGAUGUUCUGUGGACAUGGUGUGCUGUACUGUUUGUAUUGCUGUGAAACAUAUGUCCUGUGAUGGUGUAUACUAUAUCCCAAACAUUGCUAAAGAUCUUCUAAAGAGGCAGGACAAUUACAAAACUAAAACAUCUUUGGAGAAGGUAAAAGAUGCUUUGCAAAAUUUAAAGUCCAAAAUGCGGGAUGAUAUGGAACAGUUGAGUAAUCAACGUGAUAGUAUACUUGAUGAAAUAGAAAAGUAUAAGAAAGACCUGAUCAGAAAAGUGGAAGAGUUGGCGAAGGCAUCAAUUAAAGAGGUACAGGAAAAGUACAAAAAUAUCUUUGAAGGCAUAAACGCCUGCAGCAAGAACAUAGGACAUAUUCUAGAAGAUGCAGACAAAGGCCUUGACAAGCUCAAGCACUCAACAUAUAAAACUGAAGCUCAGUCAUUUGUGGAUAUGAAGAAAGGAGAAAAUCAGGUCGCAUUUGGGAAUGAUUGCAUCAACCGAUCUAUUUCAAGGCAGAUGGAAGCUUUAGAAUUUGAAUCGUGUAAAACUUUAAAGAGCCAUCUACUUGAGGUACAUAGUCUUUGAGCUUUAAAGGUGACAAGGAAUGUAACGAACAUAGACGAUGAGCUGAUUGCUUAAUUAGAAUGCUCGCAGUUGGGACAGAGGAAAGCCUAAGUAUUGUACGACUUCGCUCCACAAGAGCUUGGUGAGUUACUACUUAAGAGAGGAGAUGAGAUCAUUAUUGGAGAAGAAAUAGACCAGAAUUGGAAUGUAGGAAUAAAUAUUCGAACCAAACGGCAAAGACUUUUCCCCGUACUUUAUGUGAAAUGUGUCGACACAAAAUUAAACUGAUACAACUUCAUAUUUUAUACCGGAAGAAAUAAAACAUGGAAUACUGCUAGCCGAUAACAGUUAUAUUUAUUAUUAUGACCAGCGUCUUUUUCAUGAGACAUCAUUAAUGGCUCGAGAUGCAUGAUGCUGCUGUUCUAUGUACAGUAGAGAUGUACAUUAUAGAGCUAGCUUCUUUUGGUGUCGGAUAAAAUACAUAUACACCAAAACUUUGUUACUGACACAUAAUAUCGUAUAAUUGUUAGGAAAACUUGUAGAGCCUUACUGAUUAAAUAAUUGUUAGGAACGUUUGUAUACUCUCAAGGAUUAUGUGUUGUCACCUAAAGCAUAUUCUGAAUAGAUUAAAUGUUUAAGUUUCAGUCGUAUUACCACAUCUAAUCUGAAUUUACACAGGUGUUUUAAGAGCUAAGAUAUUCAAUGUAAGUAUUGCUACACGUUCUUGAAAUUUUCCAUAUUGAUCUGCAUACAUGAUGUCUUUUAUAUUUUAGCAGCCCCAUGAGAAAACCAACAUAAUGCGUUUGUGCAGUCGGAUCGAGAUAUGUGCUGUUCGCUUUCAAAGCCUAUUUCAAUUAGAGAAACCGUUAGCGAACAGCCAUGGAUCCUGACUAGAUCGCGUCUCUUUUUGACUGUCUGUAACUUUUAUCAAAUAUAAUUCAAAUGAAUCAUUCUUAAUUUAGUUUCAUAUUCUUUGAUUUUUUUGUUUAUUUUUCUAUUUCAUUUCUGUUUUGUUUUAUAUAUAUACAUGCUGCAUACUUAAGAGGAAGUAGUGGUGAGCUAUGAAGAAAAUCAAAGCCCCAACCAAAUAAGAUACAGUAUUUGUGUGAAAAAGAAAGAAUAAGAGAUUUCCAAUGCAGAAAGAAGUACAUACGUGAUCGCCUUUGCAGUGCGUUUAAUUAGAAAUGCAAACUACAUAUAUAUCAUUGCCUGCCAUCAUUCUACGUUUAUUUGUUCAAUAGUCCUUCAAAAUCUAGUAAUUCAUCAUACAUAUAUUUUUUCAGACCUUAUUGAUAGGUUUUUAUAGAUAAGUCGCAUCUGUUUUUCAAAUGCAUUGGGCAUUGGAUCGGCUUCUAAGAUAUAAUGUUUUGCAGUUCAAUUAUAACAUAUUGCACGUUGGAAUAAUUAUUGGCAAAAGUUGUAACUGGGAAAGAGUUAAAUGAUAGUCCUGCAUUACACGAUUAUAAAUUGUUUGACAGGAUUAUAAAUUCCAUAAGUUGGUUAUACUUACAGUUUAAAAUGAUGAAUAUAUCAAAGUAAUUGGAAAAGUACCCCAUUUUGACUGUCACAAUUCUAUAUUCUUACUGCAUUUGCAACAGUGUGUAUUUAUUGCAAGGUUGUCGACCAACUUGUCUGUUUUACAAUUGCAUUACUAACAAUAUAUUUCAUGUCAUUUUGUCCGGGUAAUAGGCUGAUAAAAAUCUACCAAACGUCGCCUGAGUGGAACGAUACUCUAUAUACCAUUUUUUAAACGUGGCGAAAAUCGCUUCCAAAGUUUAAAUUUCGUCUAGUUUCUUUAUUUCUGGGCGAAAACGAUAAUAAAUAUAUCCACAUG